ACUCAGAACAGUCAUGCUGCUCUUCUUCUCUGUUUUCAUGGUUAUUUCCAGUUUUGGUGAAAGUGUUGACCCUAUCAGACCAAAUGAAACCACCAUCUCUUCCAGUGAAGGCAGCAGAACCACACUGUCCUGCACAUAUGAUGGUUCACCUUAUAGACUCCACUGGUAUCAACAAAGGCCUGCAUCAAAACCAGAGUUCCUGGUGCUGAUUUUUGUGUCCAAUAAACUGGUCACUAAAGCUGAAACUCUUGAUCCAAGACUGUCCAUCACACUUCAAAAAGAGAGUAAUAAAGUAGAUCUGGAGAUCUCCUCUGCUGCAGUAUCAGACUCUGCACUCUACUACUGUGCUUUGGAG